AAAAGAGAGACACCACCCACCUGUUCUCCGCUCAGACAUCGAUCUCUUCAUGUCAGGAGCUCCGAACCCUCGCCGACGUCAGUCUCCGCCUGCUUCAGCAACCAUUAAUAAAGUUUGUGUGAACAACACAAAAUGUCAUAUUAACUUCUCAAGAAAGCUGCCACUUCAACCAUUUGAUGUUUGAAAAGUCGAAUGCAUGGUGUGUGUUGGAAGAUCAAUGACAACUAUGGCAGAACUCUCCCCCAGGGAAUCUGUAGAGAAAAGUGGCUGCCCUUCCCUGACCAAUUGAUCUGCUGGAGGCCCUUUUCCUUUCAUAAAGGAAUUCUUCAUUCCAUCAUCACCAAGUGUUUGUCCCCAACCACGGGCCACGGACCAAGUCAUUUGGUACUGGGCUGCAAGAGUUGAAGCUCGGGUGUGAAAUGUA